rnacentral:rRNA from 1 species
AGUAGUGGGGGAUAACUACUCGAAAGAGUAGCUAAUACCGCAUGAGAUCUACGGAUGAAAGCAGGGGACCUUCGGGCCUUGUGCUACUAGAGCGGCUGAUGGCAGAUUAGGUAGUUGGUGGGGUAAAGGCUUACCAAGCCUGCGAUCUGUAGCUGGUCUGAGAGGACGACCAGCCACACUGGGACUGAGACACGGCCCAGACUCCUACGGGAGGCAGCAGUGGGGAAUUUUGGACAAUGGGCGAAAGCCUGAUCCAGCAAUGCCGCGUGCAGGAUGAAGGCCCUCGGGUUGUAAACUGCUUUUGUACGGAACGAAAAGCCUGGGGCUAAUACCCCCGGGUCAUGACGGUACCGUAAGAAUAAGCACCGGCUAACUACGUGCCAGCAGCCGCGGUAAUACGUAGGGUGCAAGCGUUAAUCGGAAUUACUGGGCGUAAAGCGUGCGCAGGCGGUUUUGUAAGACAGUGGUGAAAUCCCCGGGCUCAACCUGGGAACUGCCAUUGUGACUGCAAGGCUAGAGUGCGGCAGAGGGGGAUGGAAUUCCGCGUGUAGCAGUGAAAUGCG